rnacentral:rRNA from 1 species
CGCAGCCGCGGUAAUUCCAGCUCCAAUAGCGUAUAUUAAAGUUGUUGCAGUUAAAAAGCUCGUAGUUGAAUUUUAGGCCUGGCCGGGCGGUCCGUCUUUGGCGAGUACUGUCCUGUGUCGGGUCCACCUUCUGGUGAACCAGUAUGUCCUUUAUUGGGUGUGCCGGGGAGCCAGGACCAUUACCUUGAAAAAAUUAGAGUGUUUAAAGCAGGCAUUUGCUUGAAUAGAUUAGCAUGGAAUAAUAGAAUAGGACGUUGUGGUUCUAUUUUGUUGGUUUCUAGGACCACCGUAAUGAUUAAUAGGGACAGUUGGGGGCAUUAGUAUUCAAUUGUCAGAGGUGAAAUUCUUGGAUUUAUUGAAGACUAACUAUUGCGAAAGCAUUUGCCAAGGAUGUUUUCAUUAAUCAAGAACGAAAGUUAGGGGACCGAAGACGAUCAGAUACCGUCGUAGUCUUAAACCAUAAACUAUGCCGACUAGGAAUCGGGCGACGUUAUUUCAUGACUCGCUCGGCGCCUUAUGG